rnacentral:rRNA from 1 species
UACGGAGGGUGCAAGCGUUGUCCGGAUUUAUUGGGUUUAAAGGGUGCGUAGGCGGCCCGUUAAGUCAGUGGUGAAAUCCCAGGGCUCAACCCUGGAACUGCCAUUGAUACUGACGGGCUUGAGUUCGGUUAAGGCGGGCGGAACUGGUGGUGUAGCGGUGAAAUGCAUAGAUAUCGUUUGGAACGCCGACGGUGAAAACAGAUGACUGGGGCUGUGCCGACGCUGAGACACGAAAGCCAGGGGAGCAAACGGG